CGGUCCAGACUCCUACGGGAGGCAGCAGUGGGGAAUUUUGGACAAUGGGGGCAACCCUGAUCCAGCAAUGCCGCGUGAGUGAAGAAGGCCUUCGGGUUGUAAAGCUCUUUUGUCAGGGAAGAAAAGGGUGCGGCUAAUAUCUGCGCCUCAUGACGGUACCUGAAGAAUAAGCACCGGCUAACUACGUGCCAGCAGCCGCGGUAAUACGUAGGGUGCAAGCGUUAAUCGGAAUUACUGGGCGUAAAGCGUGCGCAGGCGGUUUUGUAAGACUGU
rnacentral:rRNA from 1 species